rnacentral:tRNA from 1 species
UCUAAUAUGGCAGAAUAGUGCGAUGAAUUUAAGCUUCAUAUAUAAAGAUUAAUCUUUUAUUAGAA